rnacentral:rRNA from 1 species
UGGGGAAUAUUGCGCAAUGGGGGCAACCCUGACGCAGCCAUGCCGCGUGAAUGAAGAAGGCCUUCGGGUUGUAAAGUUCUUUCGGUAUUGAGGAAGGUUGAUGUGUUAAUAGUACAUCAAAUUGACGUUAAAUACAGAAGAAGCACCGGCUAACUCCGUGCCAGCAGCCGCGGUAAUACGGAGGGUGCGAGCGUUAAUCGGAAUAACUGGGCGUAAAGGGCACGCAGGCGGUUAUUUAAGUGAGGUGUGAAAGCCCCGGGCUUAACCUGGGAAUUGCAUUUCAGACUGGGUAACUAGAGUACUUUAGGGAGGGGUAGAAUUCCACGUGUAGCGGUGAAAUGCGUAGAGAUGUGGAGGAAUACCGAAGGCGAAGGCAGCCCCUUGGGAAUGUACUGACGCUCAUGUGCGAAAGCGUGGGGAGCAAACAGGAUUAGAUACCCUGGUAGUCCACGCUGUAAACGCUGUCGAUUUGGGGGUUGGGGUUUAACUCUGGCGCCCGUAGCUAACGUGAUAAAUCGACCGCCUGGGGAGUACGGCCGCAAGGUUA